rnacentral:rRNA from 1 species
CCUACGGGUGGCAGCAGUCGAGAAUCAUUCACAAUGGGGGAAACCCUGAUGGUGCGACGCCGCGUGGGGGAAUGAAGGUCUUCGGAUUGUAAACCCCUGUCAUGUGGGAGCAAAUUAAAAAGAUAGUACCACAAGAGGAAGAGACGGCUAACUCUGUGCCAGCAGCCGCGGUACUACAGAGGGGUUAAGCGUUGUUCGGAAUCACUGGGCGUAAAGCGUGCGUAGGCUGUUUGGUAAGUCGUGUGUGAAAGGCGCGGGCUCAACCCGCGGACGGCACAUGAUACUGCGAGACUAGAGUAAUGUAGGGGGAACCGGAAUUCUCGGUGUAGCAGUGAAAUGCGUAGAUAUCGAGAGGAACACUCGUGGCGAAGGCGGGUUCCUGGACAUUAACUGACGCUGAGGCACGAAGGCCAGGGGAGCGAAAGGGAUUAGAUACCCCAGUAGUC